UACAGAGGGUGCAAGCGUUAAUCGGAAUUACUGGGCGUAAAGCGUGCGUAGACGGUUACGUAAGUCAGAUGUGAAAGCCCCGGGCUCAACCUGGGAAUUGCAUUUGAGACUGCGUAGCUAGGGUGCGGAAGAGGGAAGCGGAAUUUCCGGUGUAGCGGUGAAAUGCGUAGAUAUCGGAAGGAACACCAGUGGCGAAAGCGACGUACUGGACCUCUUCUGACGCUGAGGCGCGAAAGCUAGGGGAGCAAACGGG
rnacentral:rRNA from 1 species